AAGAAAAGGAAACAGAGGUCGCCUCACUCGGUCGCUGUUGUUGUCCGGGCCUUCCAGGCCGUACCGGAAGCAAGCGGCCGUCUGAGGGCCGACAUCCGCGCACUCCCGGGGCCGCCAGCUGUUUACAGCCUCACUCCGCCGCCCAACUUGGUUCCCUCCCCGCCCGGGCCUGCCGCUCACGGCCCUUCCCCCUG